CCUUACCUACCCUUGACAUGUCCGGAAUCCCGAAGAGAUUUGGGAGUGCUCGCAAGAGAACCGGAACGACAGGUGCUGCAUGGCUGUCGUCAGCUCGUGUCGUGAGAUGUUGGGUUAAGUCCCGCAACGAGCGCAACCCUUGUCCUUAGUUGCCAGCAUUCAGUUGGGCACUCUAAGGAGACUGCCGGUGUUAAACCGGAGGAAGGUGGGGAUGACGUCAAGUCCUCAUGGCCCUUAUAGGUGGGGCUACACACGUCAUACAAUGGCUGGUACAAAGGGUUGCCAACCCGCGAGGGGGAGCUAAUCCCACAAAGCCAGUCGUAGUCCGGAUCGUAGUCUGCAACUCGACUACGUGAAGUCGGAAUCGCUGGUAAUCGUGGAUCAGAAUGUCACGGUGAAUACGUUCCCGGGUCUU
rnacentral:rRNA from 1 species